rnacentral:rRNA from 1 species
GCCGCAGGUGUAAAGGUAGAGAUACCAUAGCCGAGCGGUACUAAUAGCCCGAAGCUUUCCG